UACAGCCACCUUAAUUCAUGCCUCUCUCACUGGCUAACCAGUGAGUUAGCAUGCCCCUCACUUUGGCAUGCAAGACGCCAUAAAUUCCCUCUGAGCCCUUUCUGAAAGAACUACCAUAAAUGGCAAGCAGUCCCAGUAACAUUCAGGAUCUCUAGGCAACCCUCUCUCUCCGGACUUCUUGACUCAAGGAUCGCGCCUGGAAGCUGUCCACAACUGGAGGCGGAAACUUGGCGAUGACUGGGCACUCCUUCCUUCAAAGCAACCGUGUGUUCCAGGCACCUCCUCCUCCUCCGUCAGCAGCCCGCCGUCCCCAUUCGCUUGUCGCUCCUCCACAGCGGCUUCAACGGCAAAGGGAGACUGAGCUACGAUGGCUUCAAAGAUGCCCUGGGCUAUGGUCUGCACCAAGGCUGGACUAAACAGGAGAAGCACGAAGGAAAUGCAAACCGUCAAGGUCUAUGGUACUGUUCAGAGAGACUGGGCGGAGGAAGAUGAACUACAUUUGAUAAAUUCCCAUUCAUCCCCCGCCGCCUCCGAUCACUUGGUAUAAAGACUACUGUGACUCCUACACUACCUACA